rnacentral:rRNA from 1 species
UCCUAGCCGUAAACGAUGGGCACUAGGUGUAGGGAGUUAUUGAUGCUCUCUGUGCCGCAGCUAACGCAUUAAGUGCCCCGCCUGGGGAGUACGGCCGCAAGGCUAAAACUCAAAGGAAUUGACGGGGGCCCGCACAAGCGGUGGAGCAUGUGGCUCAAUUCGAUGCAACGCGAAGAACCUUACCAGGGCUUGACAUGCUUCUGAAAGUCCUUGGAAACUUGGACCCUCUGCCUUUGGCAGACAGUUGCACAGGUGGUGCAUGGUUGUCGUCAGC